GGGAUCGUGGGGUAGCCUGGUCCAUCCUUUCGCGUUCGGGACGCGGAAACCUGAGUUCAAAUCUCAGCGAUCCCACCA
rnacentral:tRNA from 4 species